UACGGAGGGUGCAAGCGUUAAUCGGAAUUACUGGGCGUAAAGCGUGCGCAGGCGGUUUGUUAAGUCUGCUGUGAAAUCCCCGAGCUCAACUUGGGAAUUGCAGUGGAUACUGGCAGGCUGGAGUAUGGUAGAGGAAGGUGGAAUUCCCGGUGUAGCAGUGAAAUGCGUAGAGAUCGGGAGGAACACCGAUGGCGAAGGCAAUCCCCUGGGCCUGCACUGACGCUCAUGCCCGAAAGCGUGGGGAGCAAACAGG
rnacentral:rRNA from 1 species